AUACGGAGGAUCCGAGCGUUAUCCGGAUUUAUUGGGUUUAAAGGGAGCGUAGGCGGAUUAUUAAGUCAGUUGUGAAAGUUUGCGGCUCAACCGUAAAAUUGCAGUUGAUACUGGUAGUCUUGAGUGCAGCAGAGGUAGGCGGAAUUCGUGGUGUAGCGGUGAAAUGCUUAGAUAUCACGAAGAACUCCGAUCGCGAAGGCAGCUCACCGGGCCGGAACUGACACUGAUGCUCGAAAGUGCGGGUAUCAAACAGGAUUAGAUACCCUGGUAGUCCGCACAGUAAACGAUGAAUACUCGCUGUUUGCGAUACACGGUAAGCGGCCAAGCGAAAGCGUUAAGUAUUCCACCUGGGGAGUACGCCGGCAACGGUGAAACUUAAAGGAAUUGACGGGG
rnacentral:rRNA from 1 species